GGAAUCUUCCACAAUGGGCGAAAGCCUGAUGGAGCAACGCCGCGUGUGUGAUGAAGGCUUUCGGGUCGUAAAGCACUGUUGUAUGGGAAGAACAGCUAGAAUAGGAAAUGAUUUUAGUUUGACGGUACCAUACCAGGAAGGGACGGCUAAAUACGUGCCAG
rnacentral:rRNA from 1 species